GAUCCUGGCUCAGGACGAACGCUGGCGGCGCGCCUAACACAUGCAAGUCGAACGGAGCUUAGAGAGCUUGCUUUUUAAGCUUAGUGGCGAACGGGUGAGUAACGCGUGAGUAACCUGCCCUAGAGUGGGGGACAACAGUUGGAAACGACUGCUAAUACCGCAUAAGCCCACGGUGCCGCAUGGCACAGAGGGAAAAGGAGCAAUCCGCUUUGAGAUGGCCUCGCGUCCGAUUAGCUAGUUGGUGAGGUAACGGCCCACCAAGGCGACGAUCGGUAGCCGGACUGAGAGGUUGAACGGCCACAUUGGGACUGAGACACGGCCCAGACUCCUACGGGAGGCAGCAGUGGGGGAUAUUGCACAAUGGGGGAAACCCUGAUGCAGCGACGCCGCGUGGAGGAAGAAGGUUUUCGGAUUGUAAACUCCUGUCGUUAGGGACGAUAAUGACGGUACCUAACAAGAAAGCACCGGCUAACUACGUGCCAGCAGCCGCGGUAAAACGUAGGGUGCAAGCGUUGUCCGGAAUUACUGGGUGUAAAGGGAGCGCAGGCGGGAAGACAAGUUGGAAGUGAAAACCAUGGGCUCAACCCAUGAAUUGCUUUCAAAACUGUUUUUCUUGAGUAGUGCAGAGGUAGAUGGAAUUCCCGGUGUAGCGGUGGAAUGCGUAGAUAUCGGGAGGAACACCAGUGGCGAAGGCGGUCUACUGGGCACCAACUGACGCUGAGGCUCGAAAGCAUGGGUAGCAAACAGGAUUAGAUACCCUGGUAGUCCAUGCCGUAAACGAUGAUUACUAGGUGUGGGAGGAUUGACCCCUUCCGUGCCGCAGUUAACACAAUAAGUAAUCCACCUGGGGAGUACGACCGCAAGGUUGAAACUCAA
rnacentral:rRNA from 1 species